UGGGGAAUAUUGCACAAUGGGCGCAAGCCUGAUGCAGCCAUGCCGCGUGUGUGAAGAAGGCCUUCGGGUUGUAAAGCACUUUCAGCGAGGAGGAAGGUGGUGAGCUUAAUACGCUCAUCAAUUGACGUUACUCGCAGAAGAAGCACCGGCUAACUCCGUGCCAGCAGCCGCGGUAAUACGGAGGGUGCAAGCGUUAAUCGGAAUUACUGGGCGUAAAGCGCACGCAGGCGGUUUGUUAAGUCAGAUGUGAAAUCCCCGGGCUCAACCUGGGAACUGCAUUUGAAACUGGCAAGCUAGAGUCUCGUAGAGGGGGGUAGAAUUCCAGGUGUAGCGGUGAAAUGCGUAGAGAUCUGGAGGAAUACCGGUGGCGAAGGCGGCCCCCUGGACGAAGACUGACGCUCAGGUGCGAAAGCGUGGGGCAGCAAACAGGAUUAGAUACCCUGGUAGUCCACGCUGUAAACGAUGUCGAUUUGGAGGUUGUGCCCUUGAGGCGUGGCUUCCGGAGCUAACGCGUUAAAUCGACCGCCU
rnacentral:rRNA from 1 species